GUCCACGCCCUAAACGAUGAAUGCCAGUCGUCGGCAAGCAUGCUUGUCGGUGACACACCUAACGGAUUAAGCAUUCCGCCUGGGGAGUACGGUCGCAAGAUUAAAACUCAAAGGAAUUGACGGGGGCCCCGCACAAGCGGUGGAGCAUGUGGUUUAAUUCGAAGCAACGCGCAGAACCUUACCAACCCUUGACAUGUGUAUCGCGGUUCCAGAGAUGGUUCCUUCAGUUCGGCUGGAUACAACACAGGUGCUGCAUGGCUGUCGU
rnacentral:rRNA from 1 species